rnacentral:rRNA from 1 species
GUCCCAGCUGUAAACGAUGAUAACUAGAUGUGGGAGGUAUCGACCCCUUCCGCGUCGUCGCUAACGCUUUAAGUUAUCCGCCUGGGGAGUACGGCCGCAAGGUUAAAACUCAAAGGAAUUGACGGGGGCCCGCACAAGCGGUGGAGCAUGUGGUUUAAUUCGACGCUACGCGAAGAACCUUACCUGGGCUCGAACGACUAGUAGUAGUCCUUUUGAAAGAGAGGGCGACCCGCAAGGGAGCUAGCCGAGGUGCUGCAUGGCUGUCGU